rnacentral:rRNA from 1 species
UACGUAUGGUGCAAGCGUUAUCCGGAUUUACUGGGUGUAAAGGGAGCGCAGGCGGCACGGCAAGCCUGAUGUGAAAGCCCGCGGCCCAACCGCGGGACUGCAUUGGGAACUACCGGGCUGGAGUGCCGGAGAGGUAGGCGGAAUUCCUAGUGUAGCGGUGAAAUGCGUAGAUAUUAGGAGGAACACCAGUGGCGAAGGCGGCCUACUGGACGGUGACUGACGCUGGGGCUCGAAAGCGUGGGUAGCAAACAGG